rnacentral:lncRNA from 1 species
UGCAGCUAUGGAUAUCUAGUUGAUCUGUUGCAUUUCAACGAAAAUCAUUAGAUUGGGAGUCGGUUCCUCGAUGUAUAAUCGAAGCAACCGUUUGUCGAAUGGUUUCCGAAAGUGUCACCUGUGGUGGUCGAUCUUGUAGAGAAAUUGUUGGUUUUCGAUCUGAGCAAGGCCAUCAUUGGUACUAUCUUAGUAUCGAACUUUUAACGAUGUUAUUGUUAUUUUGACACCUUCAUUUUCUUUAUCAAGCCUUCUUCUAAUAAAUGAAGAACCCAC